rnacentral:rRNA from 1 species
UGGCGACCAUAGCGUUGUGGACCCACCUGAUUCCAUGCCGAACUCAGAAGUGAAACGCAAUAGCGCCGAUGGUAGUGUGGGGCUUCCCAUGUGAGAGUAGGACAUCGCCAGGCU